GAUAACAAGCGCGCAGCAUGGAACGACGUGGACGAAUUCCGGUGGCCAAGUUUCGCACCCAGGAGGCUAAGACGCGCAGUCGCAGUCGUGUGAGCGAGCCGGACUACAAUAAUCAGGACCCGGAGCAUGAUAUGUUUACGCUGCUGGAGGACAACAUAGCGCUAAGGGAGGAGAACAAGGCGCUAAAACUGGAGAUCGAAUCACAUAAAACCACGCAGGAGGAGCAGCAGGCGCAGCACGAGAAGCUGUGCGCUCAGCUGGAGCUGCUGCAGCAGCAGCAGAGCAAAUUUGAGUCAGACAUCAAGGAUCUCACCGGCAAGUUCAAUAAAACGCUCAACGAGCGCAAUGCCCUCGACAAACUGCACAAAAUGAAGGUCGAUCAGAUACACAAUCUCACCAGUGAGCUGGAGCACAUGCGCGAGAAGCAGCUGGGACCGUCGAGCGGGGCUCCGCUAGUCGGCUCCGUAGAGCUAAAACGUAAUCUGCUCAAGAUUCUACAACAGGACAGCACAGACAGCGGCGAGGUUGGCAACGAGCUGGACAGCCUGAUCGAUGUUGAUGGCAAUCUGGAUGUGCCCAUUACCAACAGCCUAGUGGAGCGUCUCGUCUCGGAAUUCCUCACGCUCAAACAUGCCACCAACGCCGUGGAGCUGCAGCUGUACGAGGCCAAUGAGAAAAUAGCCGAGCUAGUCGAGCACCAACAUUUGCUGGAGGAGGAGAACGAAACGCUGCGCACCGAGAACGGCAAUCUAACCAAGGUGGCCAAACUGUUGACCGACAACAUGAAGGAAAGCGUGGAGACCAGCCAGAAAAUGGAGGCGGCUUUGAUAAGGCUGAAGCAGCGGAACGAUGAGCUGACCGCCAAAAUACGCGACCAGCCGGACGGCCAGCCGCAGGCGACGCCAUCGCCGACGACGAUGCAAUCGCAGGUGGAGUUCGAGGAGAUAACGGAUCAGGUGCAGCACCAGGCGCGCGAGCACAACGAGCGCAUUGUGGAAAUGCAAACACGCAGCGUGUUUGACAUAUUCAAGCCGUUUUCGAGUAUAUUUAAGAGCAACUAAACGGCGGCAAAUGGUGCACAAUUAAAAAGGCCACUUAAUAAUAAUAAGAAAUAGAUAUGCAUGGAAUGUGUCCAGACGGGUUUUAGUUGUAUCCUUUCUCACACAUUUUCGGUGCUGGAAUCCGAGCAACACGUCUUGACGCUAUAGUGCGUGAAUUUAAAUCUGGACGCGUCACGUUGCGUCGGAAUCGU
rnacentral:misc_RNA from 1 species